AACGCACAUUGCGCCCUUUGGUAUUCCAAAGGGCAUGCCUGUUCGAGCGUCAUUUGUACCUUCAAGCUUUGCUUGGUGUUGGGCGUUUUUUGUCUCCCUCUUUCUGGGAGACUCGCCUUAAAACGAUUGGCAGCCGGCCUACUGGUUUCGGAGCGCAGCACAUAUUUUGCGCUUUGUAUCAGGAGAAAAGGACGGUAAUCCAUCAAGACUCUACAUUUUUAACUUUUGACCUCGGAUCAGGUAGGGAUACCCGCUGAACUUAA
rnacentral:misc_RNA from 2 species